UAGGGAAUAUUGGACAAUGGGGGCAACCCUGAUCCAGCCAUGCCGCGUGAGUGAAGAAGGCCCUCGGGUUGUAAAGCUCUUUUGUCCGGAAAGAAAAGCAUUCGGUGAAUACCCGGAUGUUCUGACGGUACCGGAAGAAUAAGCACCGGCUAACUUCGUGCCAGCAGCCGCGGUAAUACGAAGGGUGCAAGCGUUACUCGGAAUUACUGGGCGUAAAGCGUGCGUAGGUGGUUGUUUAAGUCUGAUGUGAAAGCCCUGGGCUCAACCUGGGAAUGGCAUUGGAAACUGGGCAGCUAGAGUGCGGUAGAGGGUAGUGGAAUUCCCGGAGUAGCAGUGAAAUGCGUAGAGAUCGGGAGGAACAUCUGUGGCGAAGGCGACUGCCUGGACCAGCACUGACACUGAGGCACGAAAGCGUGGGGAGCAAACA
rnacentral:rRNA from 1 species